GAAGCAGCAGAACAGAUAAGAAGUAGGAACAGACACAGUGUUCUAGUAUUUACUGUAUUUUAGCCAGUCAUACACCUUACAUUCACCUUAUAUACACCUUACAUACACCUACAUUCACACCUUAGGUGAAUUACUCAUCCACCUGUUUUCCAAGGGGUGACAGAUGUGGGAGUUUGAUGUCUAGGCAUGGUGGUUUUGUGCAUUGAUGUGAUAGCUAAGACACAAAGGCAAAGAAAAAACUGGGAGGCUGGAUUCAUUCUUCACUAUGUUGUCUCAUAAACUACUUUUCCUCUUAAUUUAUAAUCCCUAGAGAAUAGAGAGCUUGCCAGUACCCCAGCACCAUAUAGGGUCUUCCCUGGCUAGGUAUGUAGAGGGAGAGGAGAGAUACAUCAGACUGUCAAAAAGAAAUUUCAUGAUUACAACACAGAGACCCUGAACCCAGGACACAGAAACCUCAGGCACCCAGGGGAGCCCAAGACCUUCAGGACAGCUGCUUAACUUGGCAGUUUAAGUUGCAAGCCAACCAUAUCAGUAUUUAUUUAGUGGAAUUUCUGAGAAGCAGAAACUGUGCUGACCGGAGCCUUUGUAGGCAAACUGAAAAGAAAAAUCAGGUGGAAGAACAACAUGCUAGUGUUUUUCUAGUGAACUCAUAAACAAGUUGAGACUUACCCUUGAGAGCCAGCCAGGUGCUCCUAAGUUUCUGCAAG
rnacentral:lncRNA from 1 species